GUCCCCAUGGAAUAGGGAUAGGGAACAGCCCUGGGAUGUCUCCCCAUGGAGCAGGGAACAGCCCUGGGGAGGUGAGAGCCUUGGGAAGUGUUCCUGUGGGACAGGGAACAGCCCUGGGGA